AUUGAACGCUGGCGGCAGGCCUAACACAUGCAAGUCGAGCGGAUGAAGGGAGCUUGCUCCUGGAUUCAGCGGCGGACGGGUGAGUAAUGCCUAGGAAUCUGCCUGGUAGUGGGGAUAACGUCCGGAAACGGGCGCUAAUACCGCAUACGUCCUGAGGGAGAAAGUGGGGGAUCUUCGGACCUCACGCUAUCAGAUGAGCCUAGGUCGGAUUAGCUAGUUGGUGGGGUAAAGGCCUGCCAAGGCGACGAUCCGUAACUGGUCUGAGAGGAUGAUCAGUCACACUGGAACUGAGACACGGUCCAGACUCCUACGGGAGGCAGCAGUGGGGAAUAUUGGACAAUGGGCGAAAGCCUGAUCCAGCCAUGCCGCGUGUGUGAAGAAGGUCUUCGGAUUGUAAAGCACUUUAAGUUGGGAGGAAGGGCAGUAAGUUAAUACCUUGCUGUUUUGACGUUACCAACAGAAUAAGCACCGGCUAACUUCGUG
rnacentral:rRNA from 1 species